rnacentral:rRNA from 1 species
UGGGGAAUUUUGGACAAUGGGCGAAAGCCUGAUCCAGCAAUGCCGCGUGUGUGAAGAAGGCCUUCGGGUUGUAAAGCACUUUUGUCCGGAAAGAAAUCCUUGGCUCUAAUACAGUCGGGGGAUGACGGUACCGGAAGAAUAAGCACCGGCUAACUACGUGCCAGCAGCCGCGGUAAUACGUAGGGUGCAAGCGUUAAUCGGAAUUACUGGGCGUAAAGCGUGCGCAGGCAGUUCGCUAAGACCGAUGUGAAAUCCCCGGGCUCAACCUGGGAACUGCAUUGGUGACUGGCAGGCUAGAGUAUGGCAGAGGGGGGUAGAAUUCCACGUGUAGCAGUGAAAUGCGUAGAGAUGUGGAGGAAUACCGAUGGCGAAGGCAGCCCCCUGGGCCAAUACUGACGCUCAUGCACGAAAGCGUGGGGAGCAAACAGGAUUAGAUACCCUGGUAGUCCACGCCCUAAACGAUGUCAACUAGUUGUUGGGGAUUCAUUUCCUUAGUAACGUAGCUAACGCGUGAAGUUGACCGCCUGGGGGAGUACGGUCGCAAGAUUAAAACUUAAAGGAAUUGACGGGGUCAUAGCUGUUUCCU